rnacentral:tRNA from 1 species
GACACCAUCGCAUAGUGGUAUUGCACUUGCUUGGAAAGCAAGGCCCUUUGGGCUCCUAGGUUCGAUUCCUAGUGGUGUCG